rnacentral:rRNA from 1 species
AUUGAACGCUGGCGGCAUGCCUUACACAUGCAAGUCGAACGGCAGCGGGGGAGAAGCUUGCUUUUCCUGCCGGCGAGUGGCGAACGGGUGAGUAAUACAUCGGAACGUGCCCUGUAGUGGGGGAUAACUAGUCGAAAGAUUAGCUAAUACCGCAUACGACCUGAGGGUGAAAGUGGGGGACCGCAAGGCCUCAUGCUAUAGGAGCGGCCGAUGUCUGAUUAGCUAGUUGGUGGGGUAAAGGCCUACCAAGGCGAAGAUCAGUAGCUGGUCUGAGAGGACCAUCAGCCACACUGGGACUGAGACACGGCCCAGACUCCUACGGGAGGCAGCAGUGGGGAAGUUUGGACAAUGGGCGAAAGCCUGAUCCAGCAAUGCCGCGUGUGUGAAGAAGGCCUUCGGGUUGUAAAGCACUUUUGUCCGGAAAGAAAUGGCUCUGGUUAAUACCUGGGGUCGAUGACGGUACCGGAAGAAUAAGGACCGGCUAACUACGUGCCAGCCGCCGCCGUAA